rnacentral:rRNA from 1 species
CCUACGGGAGGCUGCAGUGGGGAAUAUUGGACAAUGGGGGCAACCCUGAUCCAGCCAUGCCGCGUGUGUGAAGAAGGCCCUCGGGUUGUAAAGCUCUUUCAGUGAGGAAGAACGCCUGGUGGUUAAUACCCAUCAGGAAAGACAUCACUCACAGAAGAAGCACCGGCUAACUCCGUGCCAGCAGCCGCGGUAAUACGGAGGGUGCGAGCGUUAAUCGGAAUUACUGGGCGUAAAGCGCGCGUAGGUGGCUUGAUAAGCCGGUUGUGAAAGCCCCGGGCUCAACCUGGGAACGGCAUCCGGAACUGUCAAGCUAGAGUGCAGGAGAGGAAGGUAGAAUUCCCGUGUUAGCGGUGAAAGGCGUAGAGAUCGGGAGGAAUACCAGUGGCGAAGGCGGCCUUCUGGACUGACACUGACACUGAGGUGCGAAAGCGUGGGUAGCAAACAGGAUUAGAUACCCGUGUAGUC